UGAUUGUCCACCGGGUUUGGGGAUUCAGCUUCUCCCCGAGAUAGCGUCGGGAUGUGAAAGCGCAGCCUGGGAUCCAGAGCACCCAGGCGUGGACGGUGGGCUGGUCUGGGAGGUUUCAUUUCCAGUAAAUUGCUUUCUGGAGGCAGCAUUUACAUUCUGUCCCCAGUCCUAUGUGUGUUGCAAGGCAAUUCUCGAUGGCAUUUCUAUACUUUUUGGACUAUAUGUUUAAGUAAGUUCGAAGGGCAAACAGAAGCUUGGAAACUAGACCUAAUAGCACUUAGAAAUGUCUCUCUCCCCAGACACAUUCCAGGACAGGAAAUUCCUCCUCUCCCUGGAGAGAUCUGCUUACAUUCUAGAGGAAAGAAGAAUUGGGACAAUAACACAGAUCAGGAAAAGCGAAUAGACAAGGAGAAUCUUAAGUUUCUGGGGGUCAAGAAUCCGGUGCUGCUUUUCUGGGUCCUCGGUUUAGGCUUUCUCAUGAGGCUGCCAUCAAGGUGUCAGCAGAGCUGCAGUCAUCUCCAGGCCCAACUGGAAAUGGAUGCAUUUCCAAGUUCACACACAUGGCUGCUGGCCAGAAGCUUCCCACAGUUCCUUGCUCCUGGCGCCUCCACAGGGCAGCUCACAACAUGGACACUUGCUUCCCCAGAGCAAGCCCAGUGAGGAGAGCCAGAGAGAGAGAGUACCAGCAAGACAGAAGUCAUAACCGUUUAUAACUUAACCUCAGAAGUGACAUCCCAUCACUAUUUUUGUAUUUCUGUUUAUUAG
rnacentral:lncRNA from 1 species